AGGCUGACUGGAGGCACUAGGAGCUUCUCUGGAUAUUUGACUGGUGUUGACCCGGCAAGAGAUAGAGGCAUCUUCUACCAGAGCCCGGGAUUCUUUCCGCACUUCCAGGCAUCUCUUCGUCUCGAGAGUGAAAACUACCGGGUCCUUAACGUAGACUAUGAUGACGCUGCUAUCGUGUUCAACUGCCAGGAGUUUGGCUUCUUCAAUAUACAGUACCUGUGGGUGCUGACCAGGGACAGGAACCCAGAUCCUGAAUUACUUUCCUUGACCAGAACCAUCAUUCUGGGGCAUGGGCUGUCUGUGGAUGACCUCAGAAACACUCCCCAAGAUGGCUGUGAGGAGUGAGCAUAACAUCUGGCCCAAAAAUUAUCAGCCACUUUAUGAAGGAAAAAGUGAAACUAAAACUAAAGAGGAUGGAUGCAGUUAACUGUGAAUGGCAGGAUGAUUUAGACAGCUUUCAUAUUAAUUGUUUUGUAGCAGGAUUACCUUUCUCAGCUGACUUUUACACACACACACACACACCUACAUACCAUGCCCACACCCACCAACACACCAUAUUAUAGCUCAGUAGAUACCACCUUUGCCUGUUACCUGGCGAGUUGAAGUUUGAGUCAUGCUCAGGUCACAAAAGGUUUUUUGCAGACAGCAGCAGUUACUGUCCUCCCUUAAGUAAGGGCGAUUGGGAAAUGUGGUAUAUAUAGUUCCAGCAGUAUCCAUAUAUAAAGGAGAGCUCUUUCUGGGAGUGUACUGGCUGGCAAUUAUGAAUUCAGAAUGUGAUCAGGUCUUGUGUGAAUUUUACACACACACACACACGCACACCCGCACACAACGUUCUGGUGAAUCUGUGACGUUUCUGCCCAGUCAGGCUUCGGUUCAAGCUAUGUUUAGGCUAAAAGAUUAUAAGGAGUGGUUUGUGAUCCCCUUGAACAAGGGGGAUGUGUGUGUGUGUGUGUGUGUAAUUCACCUCUUGGUCUGCUGCGGGUCUCUCGAGACAACCAGCCGUCCCCCAACGGAAGAGCACAGAGCUCGUAGUACCGAUCUUUGGGUAGGACUGAGACCACUCACACACAACACAUCGCGACAAUGAGGUCACAACUCCUUGCUUGACGUCGCGUACCUACUCACUGCUAGGUGAACAGGGGCUACACGUGAAAGAAGAUAAACCCAACUUAUCUUCAUCCGGCCUGGGAAUUGAACCUCGGUCCUUCUGGUUGUGAGCCAGAUGCUCUACCCCUGAGCUACCGGGCCGUUGUGCCGUGUGUGUGUGUGUGAUACAUGAAGGUCUUAGUAGUAUUCUGAGAUCAGCUAAUGAGCUCUGAAGGCUCUCACCAUGAGGGUACUUGGUGGUGAUCAUGAGUCCAGCAUGUGAUCAGGUAGUGAUUCUUACACACACACACACACACACACACACACACACACACACACACACACACACACACACACACACACACACAC